UUCCUACGUGUGAUUUGUUAUAAGCAUUAGCGUCAGUGUAAUAAUAUCCAACUUUUUGUUAAGGAUGUUGAAUUUCCAUUGUUCGCCCUUCGCAGUUCGUGCAGUAGGUACUGUAGUUUCUGGCGUUCUUAUGCUUACCAGCCAUUAGUUACUGCGAUUUGCGAACGUUUCUGAAGUGUGGCCAUAAGUAACAGUUAUUUUUAGUGUUUUUGAAAGUUAGUGCGGUAUCGGAAAUGGCAGAUGAAGAUGUGGUGGCGUAUUUGCAUACGUGGGGUUUGCCCCAGUAUGUCGACGUAUUCAAACAUAAGUACGAGUAUUUCAUUAUCAUAAAACGUUGACUAAGAAAGGUUGUUGGGUUUAUUUCCAUGUUACCUGUUACCAUUGAAUAAAAUGUACCUAUGCAAUGCUGUUACCUAAUGUUUAUAAAACAUCUUUAUCACGUAGAUUUUUUACGCGUCUUCCUCUGCAAUCCCAGGGAGAAACUGAAAGGUAGAAAACGACAACAUCUCGUCGAAAUAUAGGUGGUACUUAGAACAAAACGUAAAAAAGGACACUUUACCGUUCCUAACACCAGAAAUGGUAAAAGAACUAAUACCUUCAAUAGGCGACAGAGCCCAAUUUCAGGGGCAUUUGGAUCACUGGAAGAUGAUAAUUAACGAAAUUCCACAAUCGUCUCCAUUACCAGUUAUACCCGGUGCUGCCGAGAUUGCGAGUACCUCAUGGGCAACUGAGGAUUAUUUAUUAGAAGAUAUUAGUGGCAAUAAUAUACCUCUAUCUGGGGAACCAUUAAACCCUACCGAGCCAGAAGGGGCUAGGGAUCUUGGAGCGCUACAAGAACAAAGAGGAGUAAGUAUACAUUUUUAUGUAGGUAUUUAUUCUAUAUCGUUAUCACUUUAAGUACGUUAUACAGGGUGUUUUAACAAAAAAAGGUCCUAUAGAUAUUUUAUCCACGUGUAGUAGGUACUCAUGAAAAGAUGCCAAAAAGUCUUAAUAAACAUAGGUCCGCAAGCUAAUUAUUUCAGACAUAGAGUUGAUUUUGUGCCUUAAUUUAAAUAUUUCUGUUUCCCUACAUUUGACUUAAGUACUUAGAGCAUCUGCUUUAAACUUCUGCAGUACCUUUCCUACAACUUUUCUAAAUGUUCUUGUUUU